UUAUGGCCAUAUCACAUUGAAACAUUGGUUUCCGUACGAUCACCGACGUUAAACAACAUCAAGCCUGGUCAGUACCUAGCUGGGUGACCGCUUGGGAAUACCAGGGGCUGUAAG